AUUGAACGCUGGCGGCAUGCUUUACACAUGCAAGUCGAACGGCAGCGCGGGCUUCGGCCUGGCGGCGAGUGGCGAACGGGUGAGUAAUGCAUCGGAACGUGCCCAGUAGUGGGGGAUAGCCCGGCGAAAGCCGGAUUAAUACCGCAUACGACCUGAGGGUGAAAGCGGGGGACCGAAAGGCCUCGCGCUAUUGGAGCGGCCGAUGUCGGAUUAGCUAGUUGGUGGGGUAAAGGCUUACCAAGGCGACGAUCCGUAGCUGGUCUGCGAGGACGACCAGCCACACUGGGACUGAGACACGGCCCAGAGUCCUACGGGAGGCAGCAGUGGGGAAUUUUGGACAAUGGGGGCAACCCUGAUCCAGCCAUGCCGCGUGCGGGAAGAAGGCCUUCGGGUUGUAAACCGCUUUUGUUCGGGAAGAAAUCCUCUGGGCUAAUACCCCGGGGGGAUGACGGUACCGGAAGAAUAAGCACCGGCUAACUACGUG
rnacentral:rRNA from 1 species